rnacentral:lncRNA from 1 species
UGUGCAUACUUAAAAUUUGUGUAUCCAUUCCUCAGUUGAUGGGCAUUUUGGUUGUUUCUACAUUUUAACUACUGUGAAUAGGGUUGCUAUGAACUUGCAUGAGUAAAUAUUUGUGUAUUUUUUUGUUUUUUUGUUUUUGGUGUUUUUUUUGGUGCCAGGGAUCGAACUCGGGUCCUUGCGCUUGCACAGCAGGCAGCGAAACCACUGAGCUCAAUCCCUGGCCCUAUUUGUGUAUUUGUUUUAAAUUCUUUUGGGUAUAUACUGGAGAGUGGGAUUAUUAGGUCAUAUGGUAAUUCUGUAUUUAACUUUUUGAAGAACUGCCAAACUGUUGUCCAUUGUAGCUGCACUAUUUUACAUUUCCCAAAGCAAAGUAAAAGGAUUCCAAUUUCCCCACCUUCACCAGUGAUUAUUUUCCAUUUCUUUAAAACUUCAUAGAUGGGCCAGGGAUGUCGCUCAGUGGCAUAGAGCCUACCUGGCAAGCACAAGGCCCUGAGUUUGAUUCCCACUACCAAGAAGAGAAAAGAGAAGAGAAGAGAAGAGAAGAGAAGAGAAGAGAAGAGAAGAGAAGAGAAGAACCAAAACUUCAUAGAAUUGAGUCCAGUGCCUUCACAUGCUAUUACCACCUUUUUUGGAGGUGGAGGCAAGAAGACUGUGGGAUCCCAGGAAUUUGAAGCUACCCCAGGAAAUAGUAAAAAGACCCCAUCCCUUAAAGUCUCUUAAAACAACAAGAACAAGGGGCCGGGGAUUUAGCUCAGUGGUUCCACCGCCUGCCCUGCAAGCGCAAGGACCAGAGUUCCAUCCCCGGUACCAAAAAAAAAAAAAAAAAAGAACAGCAGACUAAUCUCAGCAAGUAUGGAAUGUGAGAAAAGGAUUCUGGGGGAAAAUAAACAAGAAAUUUGGCAUAUUUUAUUCUCUUUUGAAUAUUUACAUGGCACAUUAGUAUCUUAAAGGUUCCGAGAAGCCUGCAGAAUAGAGAAAUAUAUUUAACUUUGUUUAACAAAAUGCAUUUAAAAAUUUUUUGAUCAUAGAACUCUUUGCUUAUGCAGCACCCAUUAUUUAUGUUAGAAUUAAUAUUCUGCAUACACAGUUUUGGAAAUAGAGGCCUGGGUGAUCUGUUAUUCUCUGGGACCAAAACAGAGAGCAAGGAUCGCUGAAAAUAGUACCAGAUGAAUCCUUGGAGAGUAUUCCUAGAACCAAAAGCUGGCUUGAGGGUUGGAUGCUGGGUGUUUCUGAGGCAGUCAGGAAUGACUUUGGUGAGUAUUCCAUGCUUAAUCUUGUAUGGUAUGAUUUCAGAGAGGGUGGCUGAACAAAACACUAAGGUGAAACAUCAAGUCAAAAUAAAAUGUCUAGGGUUCAGUGUUGUACUUCAGUGAUACAGUGCUUGCCUAAUAUUCCUAAUCAAGGCUCUCGGUUCAACCCUUCACAUUGCAAAAUAUAAAAAAUAAAAGAAAGUAAGAUAAAAUAUAAUGUCUGGAAGUCUCUAGACCAUUCCAUUGGCUCCCCUUUCCUCCUCCUGGCCACUGUGUUUACAUAACUUGCUCUGAUGACUAAGUGGUCACCAACCUUGCAGCAGAUGGAAAAAACAUGAAUGUGGAACACCUAUUGUACAGCAAGGCUGCGUGUGAACCUAUUUUAUGGACCUUGUAGUUGGAAAUGAUUCCCCGGCCUCUUAUUAAACAUAUUUAACCUCUGGACCCUGGUCUGUCCUG